rnacentral:rRNA from 1 species
AUUGAACGCUGGCGGCAGGCCUAACACAUGCAAGUCGAGCGAGCGUCGGACGGGUGAGUAAUGUAUGUGGAAUGCCCGAUAGAGGGGGAGAACACCACGGAACGGUAGCUAAUACCCCGCACUACCUGAUAACCCACAGGGGAUUAGCUCGUUGGUGAGGUAAUGGCUCACCUAGGCGACGAUCCCUAGCUGUUCUGAGAGGAUGAUCAGCCACACUGGGACUGAGACACGGCCAAGACUCCUACGGAGGCAGCAGUGGGGAAUAUUGCACAAUGGGCGCAAGCCUGAUGCAGCCAUGCCGCGUGUAUGAAGAAGGCCCUAGGGUUGUAAAGUACUUUCAGUCGGGAGGCGUUACCGACAGAAGAAGCACCGGCUAACUCCGUGCCAGCAGCCGCGGUAAUUC